rnacentral:rRNA from 1 species
CCCUUAGAUGUUCUGGGCCGCACGCGCGCUACACUGAUGCAUUCAACGAGUUUCUUCCUGGUCCGAGAGGAAUGGGUAACCUUUUGAAAGUGCAUCGUGAUAGGGAUAGACUAUUGCAAUUAUUGGUCUUCAACGAGGAAUUCCUAGUAGACGUAGUUCAUCAGACUGCAUCGAUUACGUCCCUGCCCUUUGUACACACCGCCCGUCGCCCCUACCGAUUGAAUGCUCAGGUGAGCCAUUCGGACCUUCAUCAUGCCGGUUUCCGGUUUUGAUGAGGGAAAGUCUUGCGAACCUUAUCAUUUAGAGGAAGGAGAAGUCGUAACA